ensembl:lncRNA
GCGAGAUUGGACACGCUUCACCAGGCCGCUUGGAUAACUCACCUGCUUCACCUACCUGGGUCUCCGGACCUCACCACCGCGACCCGGCUCCUCACCUCAACUCCUCUUCACGACUCCCACCUUUGUUGUUUGUUCAAUAAACAUAUUUCACUUCCCCAUCGCUUCCCUAUUGUGUCCGGUCUGCAUUUGGGUUCAGGCCUUGAGACCCUUACAGCAACAACGUCAGUGCCACUGUCCACUUCCUCCUGUCAUUAGGGGUCCUGUCUCCUUGGUGAUAUACUUCCUGAACAGCAGGUGUUAGUGUUGCAGGAGGCAGGAAACCCAGCAAGGACGGAGCAAUGAUUUACAAGUUGUAGCUUCCCAUAUUCUCUUAUUGUCACGUAUCCCUCCGGGGCUGCGUCCUCCCCUGGUCCGGGGCUGCGUCCUCCCCUGGUCCGGGGCAGCCUCCUCCCCUGGUCCGGGGCAGCCUCCUCCCCUGGUCCGGGGCAGC